UACGUAGGGGGCGAGCGUUGUCCGGAAUCAUUGGGCGUAAAGCGCGUGUAGGCGGCUUGCCAAGUCCGGUGUGAAAUCUCGGGGCUCAACCCCGAAACUGCAUUGGAAACUGGCUUGCUAGAGUCCGGAAGAGGAGAGUGGAAUUCCUGGUGUAGCGGUGAAAUGCGCAGAUAUCAGGAAGAACACCGGUGGCGAAGGCGGCUCUCUGGGACGGUACUGACGCUGAGACGCGAAAGCGUGGGUAGCGAACAGG
rnacentral:rRNA from 1 species